AGGAAAAUGACAUGCCUGGUGGUCUGCGUCCACUGGUAUUUUCACGCUCAUGCCGUAGUGCGGUGAGCAAGUUGGUGGCUGUGACGGUAAAGAGCAAAUAAGGACUAACAGUCACUCUCUCUCUCUCUCUCUUUGGGGGAUGGGAUCUCUGUUUGGGAGUCCAGACAAAGAUUCAGCGCCUGGAGCCAAUGAGUCAUAGUCCUCCGCCCCGGAAAACGUGAGCACAUUGUCUUUUUGUAGCAUAGGGGGCGGGACACUUCGGAUUCUAGCAAGCAUUUGAUUGGACCGAAAAUCUGACGAGAAGCUGAAGUGCAGGAUGAUGUCAUCAGAACCGCUGAUCCAUAUUGCCAGAAGUGAGAGACUGCUUCAUACCCCUAUAAUUAUAUGGCAGGGCAGGGCUUGUCCUGUGGUGAGAAGGUUGUGAACUCUUGUGUGAAAACUGCAGAGUCAAGUGAAAUGAGCC
ensembl:lncRNA